GCCAGGUGUGGUGUCGGGUGCCUGUAAUCCCAGCUACUCGGGAGGCUGAGGCAGGAGAAUCGCUUGAACUUGGGAGGCAGAGGUCACAGUGAGCCGAGAUUGCACCACUGCACUUCAGCCUGAGUGACAGAGUGAUACUCUUUUUCUUGUUUGUUUUUGAGACAGAGUUUUGUUCUUGUUGCCCAGGCUGGAGUGCAAUGGCGCAAUCUCGGCUCACUGCAACCUCCGCCUCCCAGGUUCAAGCGAUUCUCCUGC
rnacentral:lncRNA from 10 species